CCGAAAGGCUAGGGCAAUGAUCCGCUCACGAAUUGUGUCAGAUUCGGAAGAAAGCAGCACUAAGUUUGCUGGAUCAUGUGCCUUAUUUUUUUGUCUAAU
rfam:Lactobacillus concavus DSM 17758 NODE_1, whole genome shotgun sequence.